rnacentral:rRNA from 1 species
AACACAUGCAAGUCGAACGGGCGUAGCAAUACGUCAGCGGCAGACGGGUGAGUAACACGUGGGAACGUACCCCUUGGUUCGGAACAACACAGGGAAACUUGUGCUAAUACCGGAUAAGCCCUUACGGGGUAAGAUUUAUCGCCGAGAGAUCGGCCCGCGUCUGAUUAGCUAGUUGGUAGGGUAAUGGCCUGCCAAGGCGACGAUCAGUAGCUGGUCUGAGAGGAUGAUCAGCCACAUUGGGACUGAGACACGGCCCAAACUCCUACGGGAGGCAGCAGUGGGGAAUAUUGGACAAUGGGGGCAACCCUGAUCCAGCCAUGCCGCGUGAGUGAUGAAGGCCCUAGGGUUGUAAAGCUCUUUUGUGCGGGAAGAUAAUGACGGUACCGCAAGAAUAAGCCCCGGCUAACUUCGUGCCAGCAGCCGCGGUAAUAC